rnacentral:misc_RNA from 1 species
GAUGAAAGAACGUAGCGAAAUGCGAUAAGUAAUGUGAAUUGCAGAAUUCAGUGAAUCAUCGAAUCUUUGAACGCACAUUGCGCCCUCUGGUAUUCCGGGGGGCAUGCCUGUUCGAGCGUCAUUAUAACCACUCAAGCUCUCGCUUGGUAUUGGGGUUCGCGGUUCCGCGGCCCCUAAAAUCAGUGGCGGUGCCUGUCGGCUCUACGCGUAGUAAUACUCCUCGCGAUUGAGUCCGGUAGGUCUACUUGCCAGCAACCCCCAAUUUUUACAGGUUGACCUCGGAUCAGGUAGGGAUACCCGCUGAACUUAAGCAUAUCAAUAAGCGGAGGA